UUAAGUUGUAUCUUUGAAUAAAUGUUAUAAAAUAUAUAUAUAUAUAUAACUAAUAUUUUAUGUAUAUUAUUUUAUUUCGGGUUUGUCGGGUAUCCAUUCGGUUUUCGGUUCGGUUCUGGUUCCGGUUCUUCGGGUUUAGGAGAUUAGGACCCAAUAAGGUAUUCUACCGGUUCCGGGUUCGGAUUCGGGUCCAUAUUUUCGGGUCGGUUCCGGUUCGGGUUUUCGGGUCCGUUUUUUUUGCCCACGCCUACUGAAGACCCUUGUUAUCAAGUGUGGAUUGCACUGUCUUGAACCUGACAAUGUUGAAGAACCUCACUUUGCUGAAGAAGCUGAUAAUGCUGAAGAACCUGAUUAUGUUUGCCAGUGUUUGUUGGGAUAUUCUUGUCUAUUGACAUGUCCAGUAGAGGUCUUGGAGAUAACUCUAUGGUAUGGCGGGACGACUGGUGGGUUGCAGCAAGUAAAACAUUUCUUAGGAAAGUUGCCACGUCUGGAGCUGCUGAAAGUUUAUACUUGGAGAAGAAUAAGAGAUAGUGAGAAGUUAAGAAUCCACGCUUAUAUUCAAAUGUUUCCGAGAGCUUCAUCCAACUGCAGGGUCCAGCUCAGUUUUAUUUGAAAAAACUAGUAGCUCAAGCAUGAAGAACAAACAUUGGUCCUCCUAGUUGCUUAAGUCUGGUGGAACAUGAAUCGGUUUGUGCACAUUCUUGGUCACGUUUUAUCUCUAGUUACUCCCUGUGAAUCUUUUAUUAACUGGACUCUCCUAGUAAUCUUCAGUCUGAUUCUAUCUCGUUUCUAGGCAUGAUAUGUGAAUUGUAACUCAGUGUGCUUCGAUGGUCAUGUGAACUUCAGUCCCACGUGAGAAAGAUUUAAUCAAAAGGCGGAUGGUUAUUUUUGUGGAAGUUUCAGGAUUGUACUUUCUAAAAAGCAGAUGUCGAACGCAAUUGGGACUA